GCCGCUGUUGCUGGCCGGAGGCGGCCGCUCAGGUGCGCGCGCGCCCGCCCCUCGCCGCUCUAACGAGCCGGCACGGGGAGCUGCUGAGAGGAGUUAGCGUUGGUGGUUGCAGCGAAGGCGGAAUAACCUUGUUGAACUCUUGUUUUCAGAAACUCGCUCUAAGCCCUCCGUGCACGAGGAAGCGGAAUAUCUCUGCUACCGAGUUUUUAGACUGCAGCAAAAUGCAGAUGACUUGACCGUGAAAACUUUUGUCGUCUCUGAAAGUAAUAUUUUAUGAGCUACAGUUUUAUCAGUGCUGCGUGCUCUUACUUCAGCACAUUAUCCAUCUUAUGUGGAGCUGCAGGUGGAGCCAAAAUCUGCUGCUGCUUCCCACACAAUCCAGUGGCACCAGUGUCCCUGCCCUGUCCAGCUACCCUGGGGAAGGAAUGGAGGACCUGCUGAAGGUGGAUCUUCAUCGGGGUGGGACAAGUGAGGAUGUGAGCUGAAGGACAUGAGGCUGCAAAGCACCAGUAAGAGAAGAUAAGCAUGAAACCUCUGGAGAUGGGAAUGCCACGGUUUCAGGGCCUUGUUUCUGUAGCUGCUCCAAGUCAGACUACUCAAAGUGAGUGAACCUUUGGC